rnacentral:rRNA from 1 species
GAUGAACGCUGGCGGCGUGCUUAACACAUGCAAGUCGAACGAAGCACUUUAUUUGAUUUCCUUCGGGACUGAUGAUUUUGUGACUGAGUGGCGGACGGGUGAGUAACGCGGGGGUAACCUGCCUUGUACAGGGGGAUAACAGUUGGAAACGGCUGCUAAUACCGCAUAAGCGCACAGCAUCGCAUGAUGCAGUGUGAAAAACUCCGGUGGUAUAUGAUGGACCCGCGUUGGAUUAGCCGGGGGGUGAGGUAACGGCCCACCAAGGCGACGAUCCAAAGCCGGCCUGGGGGGGCGGCCCGCCCCAUUGGGACUGAGACCCGGCCCGAACUCCUGCGGGAGGCAGCAGUGGGGAAUAUGGCACAAUGGGCGUAAGCCUGAUGCAGCGGCGCCGCGUGGGCGAAGAAGUAUUUCGGUAUGUAAAUCUCUAUCAGCAGGGAAGAUAAUGCCGGUACCUGACUAAGAAGCACCGGCUACAUCCGU